GAUGAACGCUGGCGGCGUGCUUAACACAUGCAAGUCGAACGUGAAGAAGCAGCAAUGUUUCUGAAAGUGGCGGACGGGUGAGUAACACGUGGGUGACCUGCCUUGCAGAGGGGGAUAACGAGGGGAAACCUUCGCUAAUACCGCAUAGGCUUACACUGAUGGGAAUGGUGUGGGUAAAACUGAGGUGCUGCAAGAGGGGCCUGCGUCCGAUUAGCUAGUUGGUGAGGUAAUGGCUCACCAAGGCGAUGAUCGGUAGCUGGUCUGAGAGGACGAUCAGCCACACGGGAACUGAGAAACGGUCCCGACUCCUACGGGGGGCAGCAGUGAGGAAUAUUGGGCAAUGGACGAAAGUCUGACCCAGCAACGCCGCGUGGAGGAUGAAGGUUUUUGGAUUGUAAACUCCUUUUGUGGGGAAGAGUGAGGACGGUACCCCAAGAAUAAGUCACGGCUAAC
rnacentral:rRNA from 1 species